UGUGCUGUCCACACAGGUUGUCUCCUGUGUC
rnacentral:piRNA from 1 species